AUUGAACGCUGGCGGCCGGCCUAACACAUGCAAGUCGAACGAGUGGCGGACGGGUGAGUAAUGUCUGGGAAACUGCCCGAUGGAGGGGGAUAACUACUGGAAACGGUAGCUAAUACCGCAUACCAUCGGAUGUGCCCAGAUGGGAUUAGCUAGUAGGUGGGGUAAAGGCUAACCUAGGCGACGAUCCCUAGCUAGUCUGAGAGGAUGACCAGCCACACUGGAACGGAGACACGGUCCAGACUCCUACGGGAGGCAGCAGUGGGGAAUAUUGCACAAUGGGCGCAAGCCUGAUGCAUCCAUGCCGCGUGGGUGAAGAAGGCCUUCGGGUUGUAAAGCACUUUCAGCGGGGAGGCGUUACCCGCAGAAGAAGCACCGGCUAACUCCGUGCCAGCAGCGGCGGUAAUAC
rnacentral:rRNA from 1 species